AGAUGGAGUUUUUUUUCUUUUUUUUUUUUUUUCUUCCCUCUUGUGCUCAGUCACCCUGUUUUUGAGGUCUCUUUUCUCUACACCAUGGUUCACAAUUUAUUUUGGGGGAAAUAUCUUGAGCAGGAUACAACGGGAAAAGUCUCUGCCCCUUUCUGUUUGAAAUUCAUUUUUAUCCCUUCCUGUCUGAACAAAAACUAUAUGGAAUCAACACCACCGAGCUCUGUGGGAAAAAAGGAAAACCUGCUCUCUUCACCCAGCUGGAAGCUGGAGGGUGUAGGCCCCUGUGUAGUAGUGCAUAGAAUUCUAGCUUUUUUCCUCCUUUCUCUCUAUAUUGGGCUCAGAGAGUACACUGUGUCUCUAUGUGAAUAUGGACAGUUAGCAUUUACCAACAUGUAUCUGUCUACUUUCUCUUGUUUAAAACAAGAAAAAAAAAACUU